AUUGAACGCUGGCGGCAUGCCUUACACAUGCAAGUCGAACGGCAGCAUGGGUGCUUGCACCUGAUGGCGAGUGGCGAACGGGUGAGUAAUGCAUAGGAACGUGCCCUGAAGUGGGGGAUAACGUAGCGAAAGUUACGCUAAUACCGCAUAUUCUGUGAGCAGGAAAGCAGGGGAUCGCAAGACCUUGUGCUUUAGGAGCGGCCGAGGUCGGAUUAGCUAGUUGGUGAGGUAAAGGCUCACCAAGGCGACGAUCCGUAGCGGGUCUGAGAGGAUGAUCCGCCACACUGGGCCUGAGACACGGCCCAGACUCCUACGGGAGGCAGCAGUGGGGAAUUUUGGACAAUGGGCGCAAGCCUGAUCCAGCCAUGCCGCGUGAGUGAAGAAGGCCUUCGGGUUGUAAAGCUCUUUCGGUGGGGAAGAAAUGGUUUCGGUUAAUACCCGGAAUUGAUGACGGUACCCGCAUAAGAAGCACCGGCCAACUACGUGCCAGCCGCCGCGGUAA
rnacentral:rRNA from 1 species